rnacentral:rRNA from 1 species
GACGUAGGAUGCGAGCGUUGUCCGGAUUUAUUGGGCGUAAAGAGUUCGUAGGUGGUUCGUUAAGUCUGGUGUAAAAGACUGGGGCUCAACCCUGGGAUCGCACUGGAUACUGGCGGACUUGAGUGUGGUAGAGGCAAGUGGAAUUCCCAGUGUAGCGGUGAAAUGCGUAGAUAUUGGGAAGAACACCGGUGGCGCAAGCGACUUGCUGGGACAUAACUGACACUGAGGAACGAAAGCUAGGGGAGCGAAUGGG